AAAAGCUAGCCCUGCGAUGGCACCCGGAUAAACAUAGCAACAGUGCUGAAUCAACCAAGAAAUUUCAAGAAAUUUCUGAGGCAUACAAGAGGUUGACCAGUAAGGAAGACGAUGAUGAUAUCAGGAUAUCAAUGGCAGAUAUGUUUGAUUUGUUUGCUCACAUAUUCUUCAGCAAUAAUGGAUACUUUGCUCCAGAUAAUUUUUUUUAUUCGGAUGAUGAAUACAAUGACGAAUAUGAUGGUUACAAUGACGACGACUAUGAUGAUGAUGAUGAUGAUUUUCUUAUGUCUGACUCGGACGAGGAUUUUCCCAUUUAUCGAAGUUGACAACAUCAUGCAAAGUAUUCUGAUAUGAUGGCAAGAAGUCAGUAAAGCAACAGCUAAUUCUUUUAAGCAAGAAGUUUUGAAAAAGAAAAAACAGGUCCGUCCAGAAAUAUCUGAAGAACAAGAAAAAAUGCCGAAGAAUUAAUACAGGAAGAGGAGAAAUCGAAGAAAAAAGCGGAAAAACGCAAAGCUAGAAGAAAGAGAAAUCGAGCUAAUCGUAAGAAAACAGAACGAGAGAAAAGUAACGACAGUAAAAAGACGAAUGAGGUGACAACAUCAAUUGAAAAAGUCGAGAAUGUUCAAGAAAAUCAUGACAGCUCGAAAGAAAAUAUAAAUCCCGAAGGCGAUGAACAAAUAGCGAAAGGAAACGAAGAGGAUUGUCGAAUGUCUUCGAAAAACAGAGAUCACGAGUGUUCGGAUGACGACAACACCCACGUGAGCAGUACAGUUAUAUAUGACUUUUUCCUUAAGAUGGAGAUAGAUAUAAUAACAUACAAUCUUUGUUGAUGUAGAUUGUCCACGUUAGUACAGUCUUGAUAAAGAUUGUGUGUGUUAGUGUUGAGCAUUGAACUAAAAUACAUGGAACGCUACCUUUAAUAGAAAAGUCUAA